UUUGAGUUAAUUUUAUGUCCAGUACUG
rnacentral:misc_RNA from 1 species